UAUGAAGAACGUAGCGAAAUGCGAUAAGUAAUGUGAAUUGCAGAAUUCAGUGAAUCAUCGAAUCUUUGAACGCACAUUGCGCCCCCUGGUAUUCCGGGGGGCAUGCCUGUCCGAGCGUCAUUACAACCCUCAAGCUCAGCUUGGUAUUGGGCCCCGCCGACCCGGCGGGCCCUAAAGUCAGUGGCGGUGCCGUCCGGCUCCGAGCGUAGUAAUUCUUCUCGCUCUGGAGGUCCGGUCGUGUGCUCGCCAGCAACCCCCAAUUUUUUUCAGGUUGACCUCGGAUCAGGUAGGGAUACCCGCUGAACUUAAGCAUAUCAAUAAGCGGAGGA
rnacentral:misc_RNA from 1 species